UAUCUAGACGGAAGAGGAAACAGAUGCUUUAACUGAUGGGAAAUGAAAGCUAGUCUUACUCGUGUUGGUAAAUUGCAUAUGAAGUUGAUUCAAAUGAGAUCAAACCGGGUGAAAAAAAAAGUUGGUGUAAAGAUUGAAUCGUGUUCAUUUAAUGACAUUGGAGGGUAGGUCUGAGAGGUCAGAUCUGGCUGGUUUGAACAUAAAUGAAGUAGAAUAUUUGGGCCUGAUAUGAACAGUUUAAAUACUAAAGUAAAACAGAGGAGAGGUGUAAAUCACUAGACUGAAGCUUGAUAAUGGACUUUCUAUUUCUAACCAUUCCAAUUCUAAACUUGUAAAAAAAUAAAAAUAAAAAGCAACAACAACAAAAAAAACCCCUUACAAUCUUACUGUUUUACCCCACAAAUAAAUUGGAUACUUAAUCAUCA